rnacentral:rRNA from 1 species
AUUGAACGCUGGCGGCAGGCCUAACACAUGCAAGUCGAACGAGUGGCGGACGGGUGAGUAAUGUCUGGGAAACUGCCUGAUGGAGGGGGAUAACUACUGGAAACGGUAGCUAAUACCGCAUACCAUCGGCUUUGCCCAGAUGGGUUUGGCUAGUAGGGGGGGUAAAGGCUAACCUAGGCGACGAUCCCUAGCUGUGCUGAGAGGAUGACCAGCCACCCUGGAACUGAGACACGGUCCAGACUCCUACGGGAGGCAGCAGUGGGGAAGAUUGCACAAUGGGCGCAAGCCUGAUGCAGCCAUGCCGCGUGUAUGAAGAAGGCCUUCGGGUUGUAAAGUACUUUCAGCGGGGAGGCGUUACCCGCAGAAGAAGCACCGGCUAACUCCGUGCCAGCAGCCGCGGUAAUUC